CACGCGGUCAGGUGUUCUGUGACGCAUUCGUGCGCCGGCGUGCAAGUUAUUGUGUGAGCGCGCCCUGCAAUAUCUUGUGGGCGAGUGUACAUCGAGAGCAUGUCCGUGAUGGUCUUGUUCAAGUGCUCAGUAAGUCCGUUGGAAUGCGGAUGUGGACGGGACACCAUGACGCAAUACAAUGUGGAACAUGAAGAAUUGCGCUACCUCAGAAGCUGUGGCUCAUGGGAGCGCCUGUCUCUGCAGUCUCUGCAGAGCGGGUUAAAUAAUGGUAUCGAUGUGCGUCAUCGGCGAGCCACCACCGCAGCCUGAUGCGUCAUCAGACCUUUGGUGCCGCUCGCCCCAGCGCAAUCCAGUGCUUCAGCCAGAACAAUGCAGCCCGGCCACAUACAAGGAAAACCCUUUGAACGUUACCUCACUUCCCAUGGAUUCAUCAUCGCCAUCGUCCCUGACAUAAUCGGAUCAGCUGUCUUUAAAGACCGGGCUCUCGUUCUUCUUCAGUGGGCAGGAAAGAGCGGCUACAAUGCGGACGUCCCAAAUCUUUCUUUGCUUCUCGAUACAGGCCAAUGAGGCUGACGUCAAAAUGUGCUGGAUCUGGGCACCGAGACGAGCAAGCUGCGAUGCGUCCCAAACGAACUGGAACUGGAACUGGAACCAGGAACUGGAAACCAGGAUAUGGACUUCCAGCCUCAAGUGGCCGAAGAAAAACAGUAGGAAACGAACCUCACGCUUAAGGCACCUUCAACUGGCCGUUUGUAUAGAGGCGUUCAGGACCAUCUCCAUAUCCUUCUGAAUAAUGAGUUUUGCAAAUGAGACGCAGAAUACCCUCCAAGGCUGGUUACGCUCCCAGAAGUAGAGUUGACCGUAUAUGGUAUAAUUAGAAAACAAGACAUGUUCAAUAAACCCGUACAACAACUAACGCUAUACCAAAUAUACGGGGUGUCUCAGCAAACACUUUCAUUUUUUUUUUAAUUUGCCUUUG